rnacentral:rRNA from 1 species
ACGAACGCUGGCGGCAGGCCUAACACAUGCAAGUCGAACGCUCCUAGCGAUAGGGGAGUGGCGCACGGGUGAGUAACACGUGGGAAUAUACCUUUCGGUGGGGGAUAACGUCGGGAAACUGACGCUAAUACCGCAUACGCCCCCCAGUAGCGAUAUUGGAGGGGAAAGAUUUAUCGCCGAAAGAUUAGCCCGCGUCCGAUUAGCUAGUUGGUGAGGUAAGAGCUCACCAAGGCGACGAUCGGUAGCUGGUCUGAGAGGAUGAUCAGCCACACUGGGACUGAGACACGGCCCAGACUCCUACGGGAGGCAGCAGUGGGGAAUAUUGGACAAUGGGCGCAAGCCUGAUCCAGCCAUGCCGCGUGAGUGAUGAAGGCCCUAGGGUUGUAAAGCUCUUUCGACGGGGACGAUGAUGACGGUACCCGUAGAAGAAGCCCCGGCUAACUUCGU